ensembl:lncRNA
GAAGCUUUGCAGUUUUAUGAGAUCCCAUUUGUCAAUUCUGGAUCUUAGAGCAUAAGCCAUUGGUGUUUUGUUCAGGAAAUUUUCUCCAGUGCCCAUGUGUUCAAGAUGUGUUUUCUUUCAAUCCCGCUGACAUACACCCGACAUUCACACACUGGUGGUGCAGGCGCUGACAAGGAGUAUCUUAUCUGUUUCUCAUUGGCUGAUGGUCAAUUUCAUAAUCUAUUCCUGAUUGGCUAACUCUGAAAACAGCAGGAAGGAUAUGGUUUUGCCAGUUUGCCGAUGGAUAUCCUGCCACAGGUCAAGAUGUGAGCUCUCAACUUUCUGUUUCUGUUGUCACGUCUGCCGCUUGCUACCAGGGUUCCCCACCGUACACUUCUGGACCAUAAGUCCAAAGAAAUCUAGGUCAUGGUGCUUCACCACAGCCACAGAAAAGUAGCUAACACAACAGACAACCUGUAAGUCUUGGCAGCUGCCGGAAUGGGUAGAUGGAGUUGAAGAAGGAAAAACCAUGCCUUUCACAAUGGGGAUUGGUAAGUAUCAGCAUGGAAGAAAGUUGGGGUUAGAAGGGUGAUAAGCUUCAGAGAAUGAGUAAGAAGGCCCAGAAUAUCAGGGAAAGCACACACAGACUUUGGCCAGGGAAAGCACCCAGGCUUUGGUCGGUAUCCAAAGAAAAACAGAC